GAGAAACUCUUUCUUCUUAUAAAUCAUGCUCUCUUCUGAACACAGACAUCAGGAUAAUUUCCAAAAUAAUGUGCAAUCGACUUCAAACCCCCUUAGCAUAAAUGAUAGGGCCAACACUUUCAAGUUUUCUUUGGGGUGGGAAGUUUACUUUGAAUGUAUGUAAGGUCUUGUUGGUUGUUGCAAUGGCUCACCACAAGAAUAUAAAAUAUGCAAUUAUUAGCUGUGAAGCUGAAAGGCAUUUGACAGGAUAUCAUUGGAGUAUAUGUCAGGAAUUUUAUUCGUUUAUUACUGGCCCUUUAAGAAGGCAUUAAAAUCCAAUCUCCAAUGCCUCAGGGCACAAUUAAUGUGUUGAUUGCAUAAACUUCCUACCUAAUCAUUUGGAUCACUCCUAGAGAGACCGUGUGUUCCAUCACCGGACCCCUUCUGAAUCUCCUCUUCAUACCCCUAUAUCUUUGAUUACCUGGUUAACUAAUUCGGACUGGCCUUGACUCUGCUUUUGGAAUUUCCUUCAAUACUGCUUGACCUCCUACUGAACGACCUCGGACUGGACUUUAACACUGCCUCUGGAUUCCUACCCUCUAACUUACUUAUUGCAUCUGUUUCCAAAACCGGACUGGAUAAAGGACAUUGCUUAUGGACUAACUCUGGACACAUCACCUAAACUUCUAUUUCCAAGGACUGUCAAUUUAUCUCUCUGCUUUGCUGCCACAUCAGUUUGCCGUGCUGAAACUGCCUCAAAAUAAAAAGUUAGUGGUUC